AUUGAACGCUGGCGGCAGGCCUAACACAUGCAAGUCGAGCGAGCGGCGGACGGGUGAGUAAUGUCUGGGAAACUGCCUGAUGGAGGGGGAUAACUACUGGAAACGGUAGCUAAUACCGCAUACCAUCAGAUGUGCCCCGAUGGGGUUAGCUAGUAGGUGGGGUAACGGCUCACCUAGGCGACGAUCCCUAGCUGGUCUGAGAGGAUGACCAGCCACACUGGAACUGAGACACGGUCCAGACUCCUACGGGAGGCAGCAGUGGGGAAUAUUGCACAAUGGGCGCAAGCCUGAUGCAGCCAUGCCGCGUGUGUGAAGAAGGCCUUCGGGUUGUAAAGCACUUUCAGCGAGGAGGCGUUACCCGCAGAAGAAGCACCGGCUAACUCCGUGCCAGCCGCCGCGGUAAUAC
rnacentral:rRNA from 1 species